CCCCUGGAUGAAACACUGAAGAAAGCCCUUACAGGUCACCUUGAGGAGGUUGUUUUAGCUCUGCUAAAAACUCCAGCACAAUUUGAUGCUGAUGAACUUCGUGCUGCCAUGAAGGGCCUUGGAACUGAUGAAGAUACUCUAAUUGAGAUUUUGGCAUCAAGAACUAACAAAGAAAUCAGAGACAUUAACAGGGUCUACAGAGAGGAACUGAAGAGAGAUCUGGCCAAAGACAUAACCUCAGACACAUCUGGAGAUUUUCGGAACGCUUUGCUUUCUCUUGCUAAGGGUGACCGAUCUGAGGACUUUGGUGUGAAUGAAGACUUGGCUGAUUCAGAUGCCAGGGCCUUGUAUGAAGCAGGAGAAAGGAGAAAGGGGACAGACGUAAACGUGUUCAAUACCAUCCUUACCACCAGAAGCUAUCCACAACUUCGCAGAGUGUUUCAGAAAUACACCAAGUACAGUAAGCAUGACAUGAACAAAGUUCUGGACCUGGAGUUGAAAGGUGACAUUGAGAAAUGCCUCACAGCUAUCGUGAAGUGCGCCACAAGCAAACCAGCUUUCUUUGCAGAGAAGCUUCAUCAAGCCAUGAAAGUACGUACCAUUCUACUUAUAUGUCCUGCUUAGAGGAAGAAUUAUUUGUAGAAAGAACAGAAAACCUCAUGUUGUUUGAAAACCUCACAUUUAAUAUCUUCCCAUUAAUGAGAAUCAUUGUUCUAUUUGAUGGAAGAGGUAAUACACUACCUUCUCAGAAUAAACUUCUGUUAGAUUCGGUGCCUUUUUUUACAGAUGAGAUUGUAAAGUGAGCCUGUAAGUGAUUUACGGCUCACUUGUGAUUUGCUUAAAACAUGUGUCACCACGGGAAGGGUGAUAUACUUUCUUUUUUAAUGUGUAAUUUUAGUGGCCUA
rnacentral:sRNA from 1 species